CUGUAAGCCUGCGAAGGUGGCCUGUGAGGGUUGCUGGAGGUAUCAGAAGUGCGAAUGCUGACAUAAGUAACGAUAAAGCGGGUGAAAAGCCCGCUCGCCGGAAGACCAAGGGUUCCUGUCCAACGUUAAUCGGGGCAGGGUGAGUCGACCCCUAAGGCGAGGCCGAAAGGCGUAGUCGAUGGGAAACGGGUUAAUAUUCCCGUACUUGGUGUUACUGCGAAGGGGGGACGGAGAAGGCUAUGUUGGCCGGGCGACGGUUGUCCCGGUUUAAGCGUGUAGGUGUGUGUUCCAGGUAAAUCCGGUUCACUUUAACACUGAGGCGUGACGACGAGGCACUACGGUGCUGAAGCAACAAAUGCCCUGCUUCCAGGAAAAGCCUCUAAGCAUCAGGUAACAUCAAAUCGUACCCCAAACCGACACAGGUGGUCAGGUAGAGAAUACCAAGGCGCUUGAGAGAACUCGGGUGAAGGAACUAGGCAAAAUGGUGCCGUAACUUCGGGAGAAGGCACGCUGACACGUAGGUGAAGUGAUUUACUCAUGGAGCUGAAGUCAGUCGAAGAUACCAGCUGGCUGCAACUGUUUAUUAAAAACACAGCACUGUGCAAACACGAAAGUGGACGUAUACGGUGUGACGCCUGCCCGGUGCCGGAAGGUUAAUUGAUGGGGUCAGCGCAAGCGAAGCUCCUGAUCGAAGCCCCGGUAAACGGCGGCCGUAACUAUAACGGUCCUAAGGUAGCGAAAUUCCUUGUCGGGUAAGUUCCGACCUGCACGAAUGGCGUAAUGAUGGCCAGGCUGUCUCCACCCGAGACUCAGUGAAAUUGAACUCGCUGUGAAGAUGCAGUGUACCCGCGGCAAGACGGAAAGACCCCGUGAACCUUUACUAUAGCUUGACACUGAACAUUGAGCCUUGAUGUGUAGGAUAGGUGGGAGGCUUUGAAGUGUGGACGCCAGUCUGCAUGGAGCCGACCUUGAAAUACCACCCUUUAAUGUUUGAUGUUCUAACGUGGACCCGUUACCCGGGUUGCGGACAGUGUCUGGUGGGUAGUUUGACUGGGGCGGUCUCCUCCUAAAGAGUAACGGAGGAGCACGAAGGUUGGCUAAUCCUGGUCGGACAUCAGGAGGUUAGUGCAAUGGCAUAAGCCAGCUUGACUGCGAGCGUGACGGCGCGAGCAGGUGCGAAAGCAGGUCAUAGUGAUCCGGUGGUUCUGAAUGGAAGGGCCAUCGCUCAACGGAUAAAAGGUACUCCGGGGAUAACAGGCUGAUACCGCCCAAGAGUUCAUAUCGACGGCGGUGUUUGGCACCUCGAUGUCGGCUCAUCACAUCCUGGGGCUGAAGUAGGUCCCAAGGGUAUGGCUGUUCGCCAUUUAAAGUGGUACGCGAGCUGGGUUUAGAACGUCGUGAGACAGUUCGGUCCCUAUCUGCCGUGGGCGCUGGAGAACUGAGGGGGGCUGCUCCUAGUACGAGAGGACCGGAGUGGACGCAUCACUGGUGUUCGGGUUGUCAUGCCAAUGGCACUGCCCGGUAGCUAAAUGCGGAAGAGAUAAGUGCUGAAAGCAUCUAAGCACGAAACUUGCCCCGAG
rnacentral:rRNA from 4 species